UCCCCUGAAUCGGCAGGCGGACUCACAACCGCUGCGCCACCAGGGAAGCCCCAUAUUCUUAAUAUGUCUCACUUGUUGCAAAAAUAUCUGAUUGAUUCAUUAAACUGUGCUUAAUAGAUUGAGUUAUAUUAUAAAUCAUGCAACGGUUUAACAUUAAAAUAAAAAUUAGUAGCUAACCCAGAGGGGCAAGGACGCUUCUUCUGCCUGAUCCCUUCUUUCAUCGUGAGCAUACGGAUUGUCAUCUACCCCUUCCGAAGCAGACAGACUUCCUUUUGCAUAGAUUCAAGCUUGCCUUCCUUCUGAUGAAUACUGAGCACUGAAACCAAAAGGAUUUCCUGUCCCCGUGUUACAUGGUGCUGGGACCAAGCACACAAACCAGCAGACAAAACGACGGCCAGGUUGCCUUCUCCUGGGGCCCUGGUCCCGGAAGAUGAGCCGCAGCAGAGACUCUGCUUUUGGGACUCCUUCGAGACCCUCCCUUUGCUGCACCCACCAAUCCAAGGCUACUUCAUCAUACACUCUGCCCAAUUCCAACAAUUCUUCACUUUUCAAGACUUGCCAAGAAUCUCUGCACUCAGGCCCCAUCACCAAUGAGUGCUGUCUGCUGACAUUGCUCUCUGAGCACCGAUGCCAGCCAGGAUGUGGCUAUGAUUUCCAGUACUUUUACCGGGGAAGAUCGGCCAGUCGGCGGUCACAGUUGGUGACUGAGAGAAGGAAAACCUCGGUGACAGCAAGCCUGUGAAGAGCCCAGAUGGGGUCUCUGCUCCCCACCUGGCACAACAGUAAACAAGCGAAGGGGGUAGUCAGACUUUCUCCUCUCCGCAGGUCGUCUUAAGGGCUUUUAGCUUUCUCUUGAAUCACCAUUGAGCUGAGCGGGACUCGACACUGAUGCUAAUCCUGCAUCCACACACUGAGGAGUUUCCCCAUCUCCUCCAUCACUUUUCCACGUUUCUUCGAUAUUAUUGCCUACAUCAUCCACACAGCAGACUUCACCUGUUCCACGAUCUUGUCCUUGUUCUUUAGAAUCGUGCCGAUGGUUGAACAAGUCUGUUAUAAGAUCGAGCGACGUCUACCAUGGAGCCUCCAGACGCCCAAACCGCCGUUAUUAAAUGUUGAUCCAUUCCACUCUUGUACCUCCUUGCCGAGUGUUUUCUAAGGGCAUUGUGUGCAUAUGUAUUUUAUCCCACUACUUUUUUUUUUUUUUUUUUUGCGGUACGCGGGCCUCUCACUGU